UACAGAGGGUGCAAGCGUUAAUCGGAAUUACUGGGCGUAAAGCGUGCGUAGACGGUUGCGUAAGUCAGAUGUGAAAGCCCCGGGCUCAACCUGGGAAUUGCAUUUGAGACUGCGUAGCUAGGGUGCGGAAGAGGGAAGCGGAAUUUCCGGUGUAGCGGUGAAAUGCGUAGAAAUCGGAAGGAACACCAGUGGCGAAGGCGACCACCUGGACUGAUACUGACACUGAGGUGCGAAAGCGUGGGGAGCAAACAGG
rnacentral:rRNA from 1 species